UGAGGAAUAUUGCGCAAUGGGCGAAAGCCUGACGCAGCAACGCCGCGUGUGUGAUGAAGGCCUUAGGGUUGUAAAGCACUGACCAGAGGGAAGAACAAGCGGGCUUAAUCUCCCGCCCUGACGGUACCUCUGAAGAAAGCACUGGCUAACUCCGUGCCAGCAGCCGCGGUAAUACGGAGAGUGCAAGCGUUGUUCGGAAUUACUGGGCGUAAAGGGCGUCUAGGUGGACCAGUAAGUCAGAUGUGAAAGCCCUCGGCUCAACCGAGGAAGUGCAUCUGAAACUACUGGACUUGAGUACUGGAGGGGACAGUGGAAUUCCUGGUGUAGAGGUGAAAUUCGUAGAUAUCAGGAGGAACACCAGUGGCGAAGGCGACUGUCUGGCCAAGUACUGACACUGAAGCGCGAAAGCGUGGGGAGCAAACAGG
rnacentral:rRNA from 1 species